UAGGGAAUCUUCGGCAAUGGACGAAAGUCUGACCGAGCAACGCCGCGUGAGUGAAGAAGGUUUUCGGAUCGUAAAGCUCUGUUGUAAGUCAAGAACGAGUGUGAGAGUGGAAAGUUCACACUGUGACGGUAGCUUACCAGAAAGGGACGGCUAACUACGUGCCAGCAGCCGCGGUAAUACGUAGGUCCCGAGCGUUGUCCGGAUUUAUUGGGCGUAAAGCGAGCGCAGGCGGUUUGAUAAGUCUGAAGUUAAAGGCUGUGGCUCAACCAUAGUUCGCUUUGGAAACUGUCAAACUUGAGUGCAGAAGGGGAGAGUGGAAUUCCAUGUGUAGCGGUGAAAUGCGUAGAUAUAUGGAGGAACACCGGUGGCGAAAGCGGCUCUCUGGUCUGUAACUGACGCUGAGGCUCGAAAGCGUGGGGAGCGAACAGGAUUAGAUACCCUGGUAGUCCACGCCGUAAACGAUGAGUGCUAGGUGUUGGAUCCUUUCCGGGAUUCAGUGCCGCAGCUAACGCAUUAAGCACUCCGCCUGGGGAGUACGACCGCAAGGUUG
rnacentral:rRNA from 1 species